AUGAAAGCAACUGCAGACUGUGGUGGAAGAGAUUUCUUAGGUAUUAAUCUUGCAAAGACCCACAUGGUGCUCAGCAGGGAACAUGGAAGUGCUGCAUGCUGUUGUUACUACUACAAACCACCACAGAGAGGUCAAGAUGUGAAGGAGGAAGUUCAAUUAAUUUGUUCUCGGAAUAUCUCCAGAAGAUAUGAUUUUGAAUUCAGUGUGAAAAACAGUUUCUACAAUGUGAUUGAGCAGCAGCAUGCAAAGUAUGUAUGGAAAACCUGAGGACAAAACUGAGCUCUCCAAGUCUAAUUUAUUUAUCUAAAUGCUGUGCUUAUUUUCAACAUAGUAAAUGCAUUCAGAUGGAAUACGCUUUUAAUUUUUUGUUGUUAAAGUACCGGUCCCUCCUCUUUGACUACUCAGUCUGCAAAAGGUUGCCAUAGAGAUUAGCAAUAAAUGAGAAUGUGUAGCCUAUAUGAACUUCA
rnacentral:lncRNA from 1 species